GUAGUACUCCCUCCGUUCGAAAUUACUUGUCACAAAAAUGGAUGUAUCUACAACUAAAAUACAUCUAGAUACAUUCAUUUCUUGGACGAGUAAUUCCGAACGGAGGGAGUAUGUA
rfam:Triticum aestivum genome assembly, contig: Triticum_aestivum_CS42_TGACv1_scaffold_556180_7AL